rnacentral:rRNA from 1 species
GACGAACGCUGGCGGCGUGCCUAAUACAUGCAAGUCGAACGCAGUGGGGACGGGUGAGUAACACGUGGGUAACCUCCCAUCAGAGGGGAUAACACUUGGAAACAGGUGCUAAACCGCUACUGAUGGAUGGACCCGCGGUGCAUUAGCUAGUUGGUGAGGUAACGGCUCACCAAGGCCACGAUGCAUAGCCGAACGGAGAGGGGGAUCGGCCACACUGUGACUGAGACACGGCCCAGCCUCCUCGGGGAGGCAGCAGUAGGGAAUCGUCGGCAAUGGACGAAAGUCUGACCGAGCAACGCCGCGUGAUUGAAGAAGGUUUUCGGAUCGUAAACCUCUGUUUUUAGUGAAGCGGUACCUAACCAGAAAGCCACGGCUAACUACGUGCCAGCAGCCGCGGUAAUAC